AAGUCGUAACAAGGUUUCCGUAGGUGAACCUGCGGAAGGAUCAUUAAUACGCUUUUGUUUGUAACAAAACAAAACGUUUUAAACUCCAAAAGAAAUAGUGGAAAUAUAACUUCCGGAUGCGAAUUGUUGGGAACUGAGUAAAAUCGGUUCUUUGAAAAAAGGGACUUCAAGCAAUUGACACUUCAGAGUAGAGCAGUGAGGUGAAAUUCUCUUUAAUGAGAGUUUGGUUCUGAAAACAUUUGUAUCCGGUUAUCAUAAUCUGUUCUACAACCUCCAAAAUAUCAAACAAUAAACCCCAUGUACAACAACUUGAACUAAACAUUUUUUUGUCGUCCGCUUACACACUUGUUGUGUGAGAAGAUACUGCAAAGAAAAAACCUGAACUUAAGAACAACUCUUAACAACGGAUAUCUUGGUUCUC
rnacentral:misc_RNA from 1 species